rfam:Picea glauca, whole genome shotgun sequence.
ACAUGCUUAUAGCAUGGAAUUAAUGCACUAGACCCCAUUAGAACUUUGCAGUUAAGCAUGCUCAGGAUAGAUUAGUACUGGGAUGGGUGACCACCUGGGAUGUAUUAGUAUUUUACAUGCC